rnacentral:rRNA from 1 species
GAUCAGUGGCUCAGGACGAACGCUGGCGGCGUGCUUAACACAUGCAAGUCGAACGGUGACCCAGGGCUUGCCCUGGUGAUCAGUGGCGAACGGGUGAGUAACACGUGGGCAACCUGCCCCUGACUUCGGGAUAACUCCUCGAAAGAGGAGCUAAUACCGGAUACGACCACUUCGGACAUCCGAUGGUGGUGGAAAGUUUUUCGGUCAGGGAUGGGCCCGCGGCCUAUCAGCUAGUUGGUGGGGUAAUGGCCUACCAAGGCGACGACGGGUAGCCGGCCUGAGAGGGCGACCGGCCACACUGGGACUGAGACACGGCCCAGACUCCUACGGGAGGCAGCAGUGGGGAAUAUUGCGCAAUGGGCGAAAGCCUGACGCAGCGACGCCGCGUGAGGGAUGAAGGCCUUCGGGUUGUAAACCUCUUUCAGCAGGGACGAAGCGAAAGUGACGGUACCUGCAGAAGAAGCACCGGCUAACUACGUG